AUUGAACGCUGGCGGCAGGCCUAACACAUGCAAGUCGAGCGGAGCGGCGGACGGGAGAGUAAGGCCUAGGAAUCUGCCUGGUGGUGGGGGACAACGUCCGGAAACGGGCGCUAAUAACGCAGACUAUAAGAUGAGUCUAGGUCGGAUUAGCUAGUUGGUGGGGUAAAGGCUCACCAAGGCGACGAUCCAUAGCUGGUCUGAGAGGAUGAUCAGUCACACUGGAACUGAGACACGGCCCAGACUCCUACGGGAGGCAGCAGUGGGGAAUAUUGGACAAUGGGCGAAAGCCUGAUCCAGCCAUGCCGCGUGUGUGAAGAAGGUCUUCGGAUUGUAAAGCACUUUAAGUUGGGAGGCGUUACCAACAGAAUAAGCACCGGCUAACUACGUGCCAGCAGCCGCGGUAAUAC
rnacentral:rRNA from 1 species